rnacentral:tRNA from 1 species
CGUCGUUAGCUCAGUUGGUAGAGCAGUUGACUUUUAAUCAAUUGGUCGCAGGUUCGAAUCCUGCACGACCCACCA